GGGGAAUCUUCCGCAAUGGACGAAAGUCUGACGGAGCAACGCCGCGUGAGUGAUGACGGCCUUCGGGUUGUAAAGCUCUGUUAAUCGGGACGAAUGGUUCUUGUGCGAAUAGUGCGAGGAUUUGACGGUACCGGAAUAGAAAGCCACGGCUAACUACGUGCCAGCAGCCGCGGUAAUACGUAGGUGGCAAGCGUUGUCCGGAAUUAUUGGGCGUAAAGCGCGCGCAGGCGGAUUGGUCAGUCUGUCUUAAAAGUUCGGGGCUUAACCCCGUGAUGGGAUGGAAACUGCCAAUCUAGAGUAUCGGAGAGGAAAGUGGAAUUCCUAGUGUAGCGGUGAAAUGCGUAGAUAUCAGGAAGAACACCAGUGGCGAAGGCGACUUUCUGGACGAAAACUGACGCUGAGGCGCGAAAGCCAGGGGAGCGAACGGGAUUAGAUACCCCGGUAGUCCUGGCCGUAAACGAUGGGUACUAGGUGUAGGAGGUAUCGACCCCUUCUGUGCCGGAGUUAACGCAAUAAGUACCCCGCCUGGGGAGUACGACCGCAAGGUUG
rnacentral:rRNA from 1 species